rnacentral:rRNA from 1 species
UGAGUACGAGAUGCUACGGCGUCGAAGCAGUCUAUGUCAUACUUCCAAGAAAAGCUUGCACUGUCAUAAACAAAUAAUGCCUGUACCAUAACCGACACAGGUGGGUAGGUAGAGUAUACUAAGGGGCGCGAGAUAACUCUCUCUAGGAACUCGGCAAAAUGACUCCGUAACUUCGGGAGAAGGAGUGCCUUAUUUUAUAAGGUUGCAAUAACAAGAUCCAAGCAACUGUUUACCAAAAACACAGGUCUCCGCUAAGUCGUAAGACGAUGUAUGGGGGCUGACGCCUGCCCAGUGCCAGAAGGUUAAAGAAGUCGGUUAGUUUACGCGAAGCUGGUAACUGAAGCCCUGGUGAACGGCGGCCGUAACUAUAACGGUCCUAAGGUAGCGAAAUUCCUUGUCGGGUAAGUUCCGACCCGCACGAAAGGCGUAAUGAUUUGGAUACUGUCUCGGAGAGGGACUCGGUGAAAUAGACUUGUCUGUGAAGAUGCGGACUACCUGCACCAGGACAGAAAGACCCUAUGAAGCUUUACUGUAACUUGAAAUUGAAGUUGGACUUUACUUGCGCAGUAUAGGUGGGAGGCUUUGAGAAUAUUCUUGCGGGAAUAUUGGAGCCAUUAGUGAGAUACCACUCUGGUAAUGUUAGAUUUCUAACUUUGAAUCAUUAUCUGGUCAAAGAACAGUUUCAGGCGGGCAGUUUGACUGGGGCGGUCGCCUCCUAAACGGUAACGGAGGCGCACAAAGGUUUCCUCUGAACGGGUAGAAAUCGUAUCUAGAGUGUAAAGGCAUAAGGAAGCUUGACUGUGAGACCUACAAGUCGAGCAGGGACGAAAGUCGGUCUUAGUGAUCUGACGGUGCUGAGUGGAAAGGCCGUCACUCAACGGAUAAAAGUUACUCUAGGAUAACAGGCUGAUCUCCCCCAAGAGUUCACAUCGACGGGGAGGUUUGGCACCUCGAUGUCGGCUCAUCGCAUCCUGGGGCGGUAGUACGUCCCAAGGGUUGGGCUGUUCGCCCAUGAAAGCGGUACGCGAGCUGGGUUCAGAACGUCGUGAGACAGUUCGGUCCAUAUCCGGUGUAGGCGUUAGAAUAUUGAGAGGAGCCUUCUUUAGUACGAGAGGACCGAGAAGGAUGCACCUCUGGUGUACCAGUUAUUGUGCCAACAGUAAACGCUGGGUAGCUAUGUGUGGAGUGGAUAACCGCUGAAAGCAUCUAAGUGGGAAGCCCACCUCAAGAUAAGUAUUC